GGCUUCAUAGCUCAGUUGGUAGAACAUCGCAACUGUAUCGCAGAGGUCACGGGUUCGACUCCCGUUGAAGCCC
rnacentral:tRNA from 1 species